CCGGCUCAGGGCUCGGGAAAAUGGGGACUGGCGGGCUCUCCGGGGGGCUGGUGAAGGGGACUCAGGUCUCGGCCCCUGCCUGGCAGAGUUAGCAUUCUCCUCAGGCUGAUCUUGUUGCCAGGCUUCCUGCAGAGUAGAAAAAUAGUAGUUGCAGAAGAAAAUCCUCAUUCAUGAACUGGCCUUGUCUUGCAGCACAGUCCUUUUGGCAGAGAUGAAAUGGAUGGGACUCCCUUGAGAACUGAAUUUUCCUCCUGAGUUAACUGGAGGGGUUGCUGUUGAAUGUUGCAAGGCAGUGUCUCUCACCGCAAUAUCAUAGACUUAAACUGAGCAUUCCAGAAUGUAAACCAACAAACUGAAGAGUUGUACUAUCAUGCUAGUCCUUUAUUAUGCACAAUUUCUUUUUGCAAACGUUUGAUACCCAAGAUUUCUAUAUCCAGUACAAGAUUUAUUUUUGUUCCUCUCAAUCACAGUGUUCAAUAUUUAUUUGUAUUAAUCUGCAUUCUUUGACACAUUCUAAGAAGCUUUAAAAUGAGGGUGGGGGGGUUAUUUUUUGUCCUUUUCUAUUUGGCAAACAUUUAUUUCCCUUCCCCCCACUCACAGUGUGUUUUUUGGAUCAAGUUGACAUGAGCAUAAGUGUUUUUGUUUAGCAGCUACACUUGUAACUUGUAUUCAUAGUGAUUCUUUGCAUGGCAGCAUGAUUGUCAGUACAGAUGUGAAAACAGUACUUGCUAGUUAAACAUUGCUGCAGAACCUGCAAAGCAAGAACAAAAUGUAGGUUUAUAGGACCUAUAAACUACCCUUGUUAUGGUUUUCAAGUUCUUGUUGAUGAGAGUAUUAGAUUUAGAAGUGAACAAAGAAUCUAAGCAAGAUUGAAUCUGGUCCCUAAAGUGUUUGACAGUGCCUUCUUAAAAAAUCCUAUCUUUAAAAGCCUACUAUAAGUUACUAAUGUCAGAUAUCUGUUUUGUUGUCACCGUAUCCCACAGCUUUCCCUGGCGACAGCUGGAGGUGUUUAAUUUCACUCAGAGCUCCUGUGAACCAUUUGUUCAUGUGUCAUUUUUCUAUAACAGACAUUUUUUAACUAAUUAGGAACAACCUCAUAUCAGUUAACUUAGGUCUUAAAACCAUGAUUUAAACAAAUCCCACGUUGUCAUUUAUAGGAAUUUCUGUGUAGUGACAACUGGUCUCCAAACACAUAGGCAGAAGGAGAAAGGGCCUUAAGGAGGCUCGCCACCAAAUUUCAUACAAGUUCAUAAACUGAAUAAAUGUAACAGUACCUAAGUAUUGAUUGCAAAAAGGAAUAGCUCAGUGUGCUCCCUGAGUGUGUGUUGGGGUAAUGGCUUUUCUGUAAAGGAUAAAAAGGAUUUGAGGACGAGAUACCUUGAGGCUUAAACUGUCACCAUAUGGAGUGGAAUUACAUGCAGGUUUUUAAGUGUUUGGUUUUUUUUCUUUGUCAGUGUAUUUUAUAUACUUUAACCAUCUUUGUGUGAACAAAGUAUGAGCUAGUUCACCUGAUGGAUGAUACUCUGGGGGAAGAAGGGUAAAUUGAAUAGGCCAAAGUGGUCCCUGGUAUAAUUCCAUUGAAGUCACUGAAGUUAAGUCAUGGAUAAAUUUCUCCCAAGACUAACAAGUUAAUUUUUCAUUUGUUUAUUGUUUUAAACUUAUAAUUAGAAAUGGACUUGAACAGAAACCCAGAUCCAAAGAACCCUGACAUUUGGGAGAGUCCAGAGCCAAACUUCAUGACUAGCUCCUGUUUAACUAAUGGAAUGAACCAAAAUUGCAGAUUGACACAUCACCAUACUUCAAGCAUGUUCUAAUGUCGGUUUCAACGCUGCAGCUUGUCCCCAUGUCAACUUGUAGAUAAUUAGUGAUUUUAUGUUCUGAGUGGUGUAAUGUGGAGCAGUUAUAGACAACACAUAGUUAAUGUAACUGAUUCACACAGUGUCAAUUCAAAAGAACCCAGAACUUCCUAAGCUACAAAACAACCAUCCACCCACCAGCCCUUUAAAUGCUCUAUAUAGGAACAGUCCUGAAUACAAAUGCAACAGUGACGUCAAUGGAUGUAGGUGACAUUUCUUACAAUGCACAGUAAAAUUGCAUAUCUAGGUGCAAAUGGCCAGGAAUCUGUUGGUCUAAUAAUUUGUGGCUCUGACCUUAAAUCCCCAUGCCAUGUCAUCUAAAUUAUCUGUGUAGUGCAGGAAAUAUGCAAAAUGCUUUACAAAACAAACACCAUUAGCAAUAGCACACCCCUGAACUCAUUUCUCCUUCACCAGAACUUUGACAAGAUUUUAGUCAAAGGAGGGGAAAAUGUUUGUAUUUUUAUGUUAUGACAGAACAGACUGGGGAAGCAGUUCAGACCUUUUUCAGAGAGAGAAAAAUCAGGAGCAUCUGUAUAUUUCUAUUAUCUUUUCCUGGGUGAGAUUUCUUGUCUGGUUUCUUCUCUGAAAUUACACAUUUCUACUAGCCCCUCCUUCCUGACACUUCCAGUUUUCUCAGUGAGAACUGCCUCUCUAACUCUCCAUUUCCAUCUGUUAUUUCCAAAGCACAUGCAGUCUUCUAAUUCCAGUGUCCACCCCGUCUUCCACUCAGAACACAAUGCUCACUGUGGAUAACAUUUACCUUCGUGUAAGGGCUCAGCAUGAGGCAUGAAUUUCAUCUGAUUUGAAUAGCAGAAGAGAAAGAAAUUAUCACUCUAUGAUGUCAUCGCUGGAGACGGUUUGGUACAAUUACCUUGGGGAAAGCAGGUUCAGCCAUUACAGCAACAUGACUGGAGACAGAUAAAUUCAGCAUGGAGAGAUAAAAAUAAGAAGCUCUGACUACAGGCGAGAGAAUAUUUGUGUCCCAAUCUGAGGAAUUUGAGAGAGUCUGUCAGCAACAAAAGCUUCCUCCAGACACACACCCGUCCUCCAACAUCCCAAAAUGACUAGCUGCUAAAAUGUCAUCAUGGAGGAUUAACCCAGUACCCCAACACACAGCUGGAUUGACACUGAAAGCAGAGCUGCUCAUUUGCACACUCCUCCAUGCACAAAUUGCCCAUGCCCCAAGCAGGCAGUUUGUCUUAGGUAAGUGGAACCCUAUUGGGUCACUCUACCUUCACAGCAUUGUCAAACAUUUGUCUCUUAGUCCUUCACUUCUGUGAGGGGCUGGAGACCCUAUAUGCUGCUCUUCGAGCUACUUCUGGUCAACUGAAGGGGAAAUGCUGCUCAAUUCCAAAUAAUCCAGACCCUCCUAUGCUGAGAUGGCUGGUCACUACAAUACAGACCUUUUGGAUAGGUGUGGAUUUAAAGAGGAAGAUGUAGUAAAGAAGCUUCCAGGGCUCCAAGACUAACUUGCAACCCCCCAAAUUCCCUGUGAUAAAAAUUUACAGUCAGAUAAUCUUGUUAUAAGAAAAGAGGAAAUGUUAUGUAACAGUUGCAUACAUCUGCACUAGUUUAAUACAUACAAGUUCAGUUGAAUGCCACCACAACAUUAAUUUGAUGUGCUCCCUAAAAAGUUAGAGAUAGGUAAGGGUUUGUUUUUAUAUUCCUGUGCUUAAAUGAGUUGGGGAAACUAUUUUUUAAUAUGAAACGCAUAGGAGCAGAAGGGGCUCAGUCAGUCAGUGGCGGAAGCAGUAUUGCCUUUUGAUGACAGGAUGUCCUGAAUCCUGCAGUAAAGAGUUAACAGUAGCAAGCCAUCAACUGGAUGAGACAUCCUUAACUAAUUGUAAAUGGGGAAUCAUGAUCCAGUGGAGGUGUUUCCCAUGGGGGCCCCCCCCCAUUAAUCUGUUUUUGGUCCAGUCCUGUUUAAUACCUCUAUCGAUGACUUGGAAGAAAACUUAUCAUGCCUGGUAAAACAGAUGACAAACAGCAGAGGAGUAAAUGACAGUUGAGUUCUACAGAGCAAUCUCUUGAAAAACAUGCACUCUAAUACAAUUAAAUGUAAGAUGUAUAUAUAGUAGAAACCAGAAUGUAGGUCACCCAAGGUGGAGGACAAUAUUUUGGAAAGAAGUGACUCCACCGGGCCUUGUGUUACGGGGAUAACCGGUUGAACAUGAGCUGACAGUAUGAUGCAACUGGCUAAGACAGCAAAGGCAAUAAACUUAUUUGUAUAAGUAGGGGAAUACUGAGUGGAAGUAGGGAGAUGUUACCACUACUUCAUGUAUCAGUCCUCAGACAGUUACUGGAAGACGUUCACGUCUCAUGUCUGCUUUUUAAAGAAGUUUACUCCUGGGGCGAUUCUGUGUGACUGUGUUCCCACAGAAAACAGGCCCCAGCCUUAUAGUAAGAGAGCAGGGCUCACAAUCUAAUUAGCUUAACAAAGAGAAGGUUAAAGAGGUGACUUGAUCAUGGUCUAAAGCUAUGCCUACGCUACCACCUAUGUCAGCAAAACUUAUGUCGCUCGGGGGUGAAUAUUUCACCCCCCUGAGCAACAGAAGUUACACUGACAUAAGUGCUAGUGUGCACAGAGCUAUGUUGGUGGGAGAGCUGCUCUUGCUGACAUAACUUAUGCUGCUCCCAGGGGUGGUUUUUUAUGCUGCUAACUCUUUAAUCUUCAUAGAGUGUCUUCACCACACGUGGUACAGCUGCACUGCUGUAGCACUGUAAGUGUAGACAUGGCCUAGGUAUCUACAUGGGGGGGAAGAUUGACAGCAAGAUUGCUUUAAUCUAGCGGACAAAUGUCUAAGAUUCAGCGACUGGAUCUGAAACUAGAUAAGUUCAUACUAGAAAUCGGACAUUUUUUAUAGGAGUAAUUAAACAUUGGAACAACUUAGAAAGAUAGGGUGGCUUCUCCAUCACAUGUCUUUCUAAAAGAUAUGCUCUAGCUAAUCCAUAAGUAUACAGGAAUCAUUUGGUGAUGGAUUUGUCAUGUAGGAGGUCAAACAAAAUUGUUAUGGUCUCUUCUGGCCUUAAUCUUAUAUUCUGGAGAAUGAGAAGGCAGUAGCAAGGUAGUGAUGUAUCAUACUGCCAUAUACUUGCCCAAUCUCACCCUUUGACGAUAGUAGCCUAUAUUACUAUGAAGUCUUUAUAUCGUGUGGGAAAGUUUACAUGGUGUUCUUGAAAUGCACUAAGAGAGCCCUUUCCAUGAAGAUGCUAUAUUCUGUCAUACAAGAAACCUGUCCGGGGAGGGUAAGGAGAGAUUAUUGGAGAGGAGAAUGGAUGGCUAUUUGGUGGAAGUAGGCUAGUGGCUCUCAACCUUUCCAGACUACUGUACCCCUUUCAAAAGUCUGAUUUAUCCUGCGUACCCCCAAGUGACACCUCACUUAAACAACUUGCUUACACAAUCAGACAAAACACCAAAGUGUCACAGCACACUUAGUGAAAAAUUGCAUAUUUUCUCAUUUUUACCAUAUAAUUAUAAAAUAAAUUGGGGUGUAAAUAUUGUACUUAUAUUUCAGUGUAUAGUAUAUAGAGCAGU